UCAUCGGGGUGAUUGAUAGGUUCGUGGCCUAUGGUAGAAGAUGAGUUAUUAAUUUCAAACUUUCUGCAUAAUCACCCAAAGAGUUGACCUGCAUUUGCAUAUAAUAAGCUGUAUAACUCAUCUCCUUCUACCUUAGGCCACGAACAUCAAUUACCUCUGCUGUGGACACUUUCUGGAGGUUCAAGAUCUGUAUGCUCCACGACCGCUGGACUAAGUGUGUAAAUGUAGGAGGGGACUGUUGAAAAUGAAUGUGCUAGGUUUUCUAAAAUUCACUCCUUCUACCUUAGGCCAUGAACUUAUCAAUCACCCCUUGUAUUGUGUGCUGAUUUGGUCACCUAUCUACAGGAAAGAUGUAAGAAAGUUUGAAAGCACAGAAAAAAUUGACAAGGAUGUUGCUGGGACUUGAGGACCUGAGUUAUAGGGAAAGGUUGAAUAGGUUAGGACUUCAUUUGCUAGAACAUAGAAGAUUGAGAGGAGAUUUGAUGGAGGUAUACAAAAUUAUGAGAGGUAUAGAAAUGGUAAAUGCAAGCGGGUUUUCUCCACUGAGGUUGGAUGAGACUGUUACUAGAGAUUAAGAGUGAAAGCUGAAAUGUUUAAGGGGAACAUGAAGGAGAACUUCUUCACUCGGUGGUGGGAGUGUGGAACAAGCUGCCAUUUUAAGUGGUGGAUGUUUAUUGGAUUUCAACAUUUAAGAGAAAUUUGGAUAGGUACAUCGAUGAGUGGGAAAUGGAGGGCUAUGGUCCAGGAUGCAUGUUGAUGGGACUUGGCAGAUUAAUUUUUUUGGCUCAGACUAGAUGGGCCAAAGGGCCUGUUUCUGUGUUGUAGUGUUUUAUGACUCUAACCUGUGUUGCCUCUUUCAAUGAGCAAUGAAUUUGGACCCCAAGCUCACUCUACUCAUCAACACUGUUAAGGGUUUUGUCCUUAACAGUGUACUGUCUCUUUAUAUGUAAACAGCCAGGGUGCAACAUUUUACAUUUGGCUGGAUUAAACUCCUUUACCAUUUCUCUGCCAAUAUACGCAAUUAAUCUAUAUCUCAGUUGUAUUCUUUGCAAAUCCUCUAUGCUAUCCACAACACCACCAACAAUCAUAUCAUCUGUAAACUCACUAACCCACCCAUUUAUAUUUUCAUCUGUGUCAUUUAUGUACAUCACAAACAGAAGAGAUCCCCUGCAGAACACCACUAAUCACAGACAAUCAAAUAAAUAAGUCCAAGUAUCUCAGCACCCUCAGCCUCUGCCUGUUGUCACCAAAGCCUCUUAAGCCAAAGCUGGACCACUCUAACACUGUCCCUCUCCAACAGUGGCUGCUCCACUCAUACCUCACUUCUUUUAUUGGUGUUUACCAAGAACCUAAUUAUCAAUUAUGAUUGAAGGCUGCCGAGAAGUCCCAAAAGGCCCAAGCUCUUUUUAAACCUCAUGGUGCCUCUCUGACAAGUGAGUACUUAUGAUAAUUGAAUGCCACCGAAAAGUCCUGAAAAAGCCCUGGGCUCUUGUUAAACCUCACACCACCUCUCCCACAAAUGCGUACUUGUGAUGUUUAGGAUUCACUGAAAAGGAUAAGGGAUGAAAUUGCUUUAUCUAGCAGGGAGGCUGUUCUAACCAAGCUAUCAAAGACAAUCUCUGAUGAUGUGUUUUAAUUUGUCGGUAGAUAUGGAUAUGGAUAUAGAUAAUUUGCAGCAACGUAAAACGCAUGGUAUUUCCCUCAUCAAAUAGGCCUGCUGCAAUAAAUUACAUGAUUGCACUGGCUUCUGCAUGAAUCUUAAAGCAUCUUCCUCCCUUGAAAGCUGUCAGGUUUACCCCAGUUAGAAUCUUCAGUAAAAAUCAUGCCAUAUUUCACAGGAAAAGGAAUACCAGAUAUGCUUUCCUGCAAUGCUGACAUAUGGGUGAAAUCCCUAUGCUUCCAGGUUCAGGAAGGUGAACGAGAUAAUUAACUUUACAGCAUCAACACAGGUUUACCGAAAAUACUGCGGAAGGUUCCAAUGCAUUAUAACGCCUAAAUAUCAUAAAGCCUUGAUGUUAUAUUGAUAAAUAUGGCUACUUAAUUUCUUUGGGAUGCAUUACUCAAAGUCAGUCGUCAUAUUCAUCUUGGGCAGCUUCUUGCCACUUGUUCGCAGUCCCGUGUAAAGCAUAAAACCUGCAUCUGUUGUAGUUUUUCUUAUUGCAGUUUUAUUUUAACCUGCUACUAAUAAAAUGUACAACUCAACCACAAAGUGAGUGAACAUACUUACAUUCUAAGCUCACUACAAUGCACUUGGUUUCUGUCUUUUUUUCCUGAUAGUGCCAAUGUGAUGACUGAUAGAUCAUGUUUUGAAACUGAUUAUUAUUAAGAAUGGCCCAAUUUAUACUGUUUGCCUUGCAUUGGUAGAUACCCAAAGGAAACUUUCAAAUUAAGGAAAUUCAGAUCAAUGAUAAAUUGAUAGAUUGUCAUAUCUGAGGUAUAGUUUUCUCAAUCUUAGCUGUAACAAUCGGGAGGUACUGAAAGAUAUUUCUUCACAAAGGAUGAGAGGCAAUACUUGAUGAAAAAUAUUCUGCUGGCUGACCAUACACAGUAGCUGAUUGUGAUUUCUAUAAUCUCUCUCUCAAUUACAUCUCUAUGCAGGAAUGCUGGUGGAGGGGUCAGGAUGGGGUUGUCUCUGACAGGUACAACAGGCAUUGAAAUGCCAGAAAUGACCAGGAGUGAAAAUGAAACAACUUCGCUACUUCAACAAGUUAGAAACUAUGAAGGACUUGAAGAGUUACCCAAGACACAGUCACCAGGAGGAGAAUGCCGCAGAUGAUGUUACUUGGCAAACUAUGUACAUUUUUUACAGUGCGAGCUGGAUAAAAUCUUCCAUCAUAAUAAAGUGCUGUUACUGUGUGCAGUAGAU